rnacentral:miRNA from 1 species
AAAAAUCCAUUUAUGAGCACUGAAAAUGUAACAACAUCAGGAUUCACAGAAACUUUUAACAUAUCAUCCAGCAACUUCACAGCUUCUUCAAGCAUUCCAUUCUUACACAACCCAUCAAUCAUUCCUGUA